rnacentral:rRNA from 1 species
ACAAACCUACGGGAGGCAGCAGUAGGGAAUUUUCGUCAAUGGGCGCAAGCCUGAACGAGCGAUGCCGCGUGAGUGAAGAAGGCCUUCGGGUCGUAAAGCUCUGUUGCGGGGGAAAAAAGGCAGCAUCAGGAAAUGGGUGCUGACUGAUGGUGCCCCGCCAGAAAGUCACGGCUAACUACGUGCCAGCAGCCGCGGUAAUACGUAGGUGGCGAGCGUUAUCCGGAUUUAUUGGGUGUAAAGGGUGCGUAGGCGGCUUCUUAAGUCUGCAGUCUAAGCCCGGAGCUUAACUCCGGUUCGCUACAGAA